rnacentral:sRNA from 1 species
CCGGUCGCCGAUAGGGGCCGGCCCGCCGGACUGUGUCACACACACGCCGGCGGGUGACGCUUGUAUCCAUGUUGCUCAAUGGAGGAUGUGGCUAUGAGAA